CACGAAUUGUCGUGGUCAUGGUGUUGAAAGGUUCAGGCUUUGACGCUGAUGGCUCUACCUCCUUAAGAGACAGACCCACCCCCUGACACAGUCGGGGCAGGCACAGGAAAACUUGCUAAGUCAUCGCAGGACACCCGCCAUGCAUUACACCUGCUGAAGACUCUGGGCAUGCGUAGAACCUCAGUGCACAGAUCCUCGUUUGGUUUCCAGGCUCAGACCCUCUUGGUGGCCAAGCUAGAACCUGGAGAUCGGUCCCCUUACCUUCCCAGUCUCUUCCACCUCUGAUCAGCCAGUGAGGUAAACACCAUGCUAAGCUAUGAUCUCCUGCAGCUGAUGGUUCCUGAUUCAUCUUACCAUCGUGAAAUUUCAUUACAGUCUUACUGUACUGCCUUAGCUGACCUUGAACAUCUGGCUCCCAAGAUCUUGCUUCAGCUUCCCAAGUCUAUGGUCCCUAGCUGGCCUGAAAUCCUCAGAAAUCUACCUGCCUCAGCCUCCUGAGUGCUGGGAUUAAAGGCGUGGGGGUGGACUUUGAGGUCUCCUAUGCUCAAGCUACUCUCAGCGAGACAGACCACUUCCUGUUGUCUGACUAUCAAGAUAAAGGGCUCUCAGCCCCAGCACCAUAUCAGCCUGCAUGUCACCAUGUGACACCAUGUGAUAAUGGACUAAACCUCUGAAAAUGUAAGCUACCCCAAUUAAAUGGUAUUUCUUCAUAAGA
rnacentral:lncRNA from 1 species